rnacentral:rRNA from 1 species
GAUGAACGCUGGCGGCGUGCCUAAUACAUGCAAGUCGAGCGGACAGAUGAGGAGCUUGCUCCUCGGACGUUAGCGGCGGACGGGUGAGUCACACGAGGAUCACGUACCUAUCAGACUGGGAUCACUUCGGGACACCGGAGCAAAUACGGGAUGAUAUAUUGAAGCGCAUGGUUGAAUAGUGAAUGACGGUUUUGGGGGCACUUAUAGAUGGUUCCGCGCCGUAUUAGCUAGUUGGUAAGGUAACGGCGUACCAAGGGGACUAUGCGUAUCCGAGGUGAGAGGGGGGUCGGCGACACUGGAGCGGAGACACGGUCCUUACUCCUACGGUAGGCAGCAGUAGGGAAUCUGCCGCAAUGGGCGGAAGCCUGACGGAGCAAGGGCGCGUGAGUUGUGAAGGUGUUCGGAUCGGAAAGCUCGGUUAUUAGGGAAGAACAAAUGUGGAAGUAACUAUGCACUGCUUGACGGUACCUAAUCAGAAAGCCACGGCUAACUACGUG